CCCUACGGGAGGCAGCAGUGGGGAAUAUUGCGCAAUGGGGGCAACCCUGACGCAGCAACGCCGCGUGCAGGAAGAAGGUCUUCGGAUUGUAAACUGUUGUCGCAGGGGAAGAAGACAGUGACGGUACCCUGUGAGAAAGUCACGGCUAACUACGUGCCAGCAGCCGCGGUAAUACGUAGGUGACAAGCGUUGUCCGGAUUUACUGGGCGUAAAGCGAGUGCAGGCGGUUCAAUAAGU
rnacentral:rRNA from 1 species